AACGAACGCUGGCGGCGCGCCUAACACAUGCAAGUCGAACGCGAAAGUGUAGCAAUACAUGAGUAAAGUGGCGCACGGGUGAGUAACACGUAGGUGAUCUACCUUUGUGAUCGGGAUAACCAGUCGAAAGAUUGGCUAAUACCGGAUAGAGCGCAUGACUCGUAAAGGGUUGUGCGGGAAAAGGAGGCGUAGCAAUACGCUUUUGCACUGAGAUGAGCCUGCGUCUCAUUAGCUAGUUGGUAGGGUAAUGGCCUACCAAGGCAUUGAUGGGUAGCUGGUCUGAGAGGACGAUCAGCCACACUGGAACUGAAACACGGUCCAGACUCCUACGGGAGGCAGCAGUGGGGAAUCUUGCGCAAUGGACGAAAGUCUGACGCAGCGACGCCGCGU
rnacentral:rRNA from 1 species